AAAGAAACUAACAAGGAUUCCCUUAGUAACUGCGAGUGAAGAGGGAAGAGCUCAAAUUUAAAAUCUGGCAGUGUUUUGCUGUCCGAGUUGUAAUCUAGAGAAGUGCUGCCCGUGCUGGACCAUGUACAAGUCUCCUGGAAUGGAGCGUCACAGAGGGUGAGAAUCCCGUCUUUGACAUGGACUACCAGUGCAUUUGUGGUGUGCUCUCAAAGAGUCGAGUUGUUUGGGAAUGCAGCUCUAAAUGGGUGGUAAACUCCAUCUAAAGCUAAAUAUUGGCGAGAGACCGAUAGCGAACAAGUACCGUGAGGGAAAGAUGAAAAGAACUUUGGAAAGAGAGUUAAACAGUAUGUGAAAUUGUUGAAAGGGAAACGCUUAAAGUCAGUCGUGUCGGCCAGGGAUCAACUCAGCUUUCUCUGCUGGGUGUACUUCCUGAUCUGAUGGGCCAACAUCAGUUUUGACUGCUGGAGAAGGGCAGAGGGAAUGUGGCACCUUCGGGUGUGUUAUAGCUCUCUGUCAGAUGCAGUGGCUGGGACUGAGGAAAGCAGCAUGCCGCAAGGCCGGAUCGUUUCGACCACGUUCAUUGCUGAGGAUGUUGGCAUAAUGGCUUUAAUCGACCCGUCUUGA
rnacentral:rRNA from 1 species